AGGCCCGGGGGGGGCUGCCUAUACAUGCAAGUCGAACGAGCUUCCGUUGAAUGACGUGCUUGCACUGAUUUCAACAAUGAAGCGAGUGGCGAACUGGUGAGUAACACGUGGGAAAUCUGCCCAGAAGCAGGGGAUAACACUUGGAAACAGGUGCUAAUACCGUAUAACAACAAAAUCCGCAUGGAUUUUGUUUGAAAGGUGGCUUCGGCUAUCACUUCUGGAUGAUCCCGCGGCGUAUUAGUUAGUUGGUGAGGUAAAGGCCCACCAAGACGAUGAUACGUAGCCGACCUGAGAGGGUAAUCGGCCACAUUGGGACUGAGACACGGCCCAAACUCCUACGGGAGGCAGCAGUAGGGAAUCUUCCACAAUGGACGAAAGUCUGAUGGAGCAAUGCCGCGUGAGUGAAGAAGGGUUUCGGCUCGUAAAACUCUGUUGUUAAAGAAGAACACCUUUGAGAGUAACUGUUCAAGGGUUGACGGUAUUAAACCAGAAAGCCACGGCUAACUACGUGCCAGCAGCCGCGGUAAUACGUAGGUGGCAAGCGUUGUCCGGAUUUAUUGGGCGUAAAGCGAGCGCAGGCGGUUUUUUAAGUCUGAUGUGAAAGCCUUCGGCUUAACCGGAGAAGUGCAUCGGAAACUGGGAGACUUGAGUGCAGAAGAGGACAGUGGAACUCCAUGUGUAGCGGUGGAAUGCGUAGAUAUAUGGAAGAACACCAGUGGCGAAGGCGGCUGUCUAGUCUGUAACUGACGCUGAGGCUCGAAAGCAUGGGUAGCGAACAGGAUUAGAUACCCUGGUAGUCCAUGCCGUAAACGAUGAGUGCUAAGUGUUGGAGGGUUUCCGCCCUUCAGUGCUGCAGCUAACGCAUUAAGCACUCCGCCUGGGGAGUACGACCGCAAGGUUGAAACUCAAAGGAAUUGACGGGGGGCCCGCACAAGCGGUGGAGCAUGUGGUUUAAUUCGAAGCUACGCGAUCGAACCUUACCAGUCUUGACAUCUUCUGCCAAUCUUAGAGAUAAGACGUUUCCCUUCGGGGACAGAAUGACAGUGGUGCAUGGUGUCGUCAGCUCGUGUCGUGAGAAUGUUGGGUUAAGUUCCCCGCAACGAGCGCAACCCUUAAUUUAUUCAGGUUG
rnacentral:rRNA from 2 species